CGGAAGUCCCGCCCUUGGACGGGUGAGGGGCGCCCCGAGGCCCUCCGAGCAACCCCCCGACCCCGUGGAUACGAUCCUCAGCCAAGCACCUCGCUGUUGCGCCUCUCAGAGAGAUGGGACUGCCCCGCAUUAACAUGGCCUCAAGGCGACCUGGUUUGGUCGUGCCCUCGAGCAAAAUGGCACCUUCUUGGCUUCGAUGCCAGUAUACAAUAUGGAGAAGGAAAUGGGCGUUUCAGGGAGAGCUAGAGCUAGGUGGUGGAGCUCUUGUUAGACCCUCCCACUUGUUUACUUCGUGGUGAGAGUGGUAACACUGCGCCUGCGCACUCUGGCCUGCCCGCUAGCGUCUUCGCCAUGUGACUUGAACCUUUGUGGUUAAAUUACCCCGUUCUGAAAGAUGGUUUCACCCACUUGUGCUCUACAACUGGUACGGGAGCUACCACUCUCCGGCCGUGGGGGGAGUGUCCUUUCCGGAAGUGACAACACGCUGACCCGGAAAAGGAGGAGGCCGGGGCAGUGGGGCUGUCGGCGGCGGCUAUGGAAGGUGCUGGCUACAGGGUGGUGUUUGAGAAGGGAGGAGUGUACCUGCAUACCAGUGCUAAGAAGUACCAGGACCCGGACUCCCUCAUUGCUGGUGUCAUCCGCGUCAUGGAAAAGGACAAUGACGUCCUCCUGCACUGGGCUCCUGUAGAGGAGGCUGGAGAUUCCACCCAAAUCCUCUUCUCCAAGAAGGACUCCAGUGGGGGUGACUCCUGUACCUCUGAGGAGGAGCCGACCUUUGACCCUGGCUAUGAACCCGACUGGGCUGUCAUCAGCACUGUUCGGGCACAACCCCGCCACUCAGAGCCCACGAGAGGCGCAGAGUCCAGCUCCCCCCGGGCCUCGUGGGCCUUCUCCGUGAGUCUGGGGGAGCUCAAGUCCAUCCGCCGUUCCAAGCCGGGCCUCAGCUGGGCCUACCUGGUCCUGGUGACCCAGGCUGGGGGCUCCCUGCCCGCCCUGCACUUCCACCGCGGGGGCACCCGCGCCCUGCUCCGUGUCCUCAGCCGCUACCUGCUGUUGGCCAGCUCCCCCCAGGACUCCCGCCUCUACCUUGUCUUCCCCCACGACUCCUCCGCCCUCUCCAACUCCUUCUACCACCUGCAGCUCUUUGACCAGGACAGCUCCAACGUGGUGUCCCGCUUCCUCCAGGACCCCUACUCCACCACCUUCAGCAGCUUCUCCCGAGUGACCAACUUCUUCCGGGGAGCCCUGCAGCCACACCCCGAGGGGGCCUCCCCUGACCUGCCCCUGCCACCCGAUGAUGAGCCUGAGCCAGGGUUCGAGGUCAUUUCCUGUGUGGAGCUGGGGCCUCGGCCGGCCGUGGAACGGACGCCUCCGGUCACAGAGGAGGAGUGGGCCCGCCACAUGGGCCCCGAGGGCCGCCUGCAGCAGGUCUCGGAGCUGAAGAGCCGGAUCUUCUCUGGGGGUCUGAGCCCCGGCCUGCGGCGCGAGGCCUGGAAAUUCCUCCUGGGGUACCUCAGCUGGGAGGGCUCAGCUGAGGAGCACAAGGCGCACAUGCGCAGGAAAACGGACGAGUAUUUCCGCAUGAAGCUGCAGUGGAAGUCUGUGAGCCCCGAGCAGGAGCGGAGGAACUCACUGCUGCACGGAUACCGCAGCCUCAUCGAGAGAGACGUGAGCCGCACUGACAGGACCAACAAGUUCUACGAGGGUCCAGAGAACCCAGGGCUGGGCCUGCUGAACGACAUCUUGCUCACGUACUGCAUGUACCACUUCGACCUGGGCUACGUCCAGGGCAUGAGUGACCUUCUCUCCCCGAUCCUCUACGUCAUUCAGAACGAGGUGGAUGCCUUCUGGUGUUUCUGCGGCUUCAUGGAGCUCGUGCAAGGGAACUUUGAAGAGAGUCAGGAGACCAUGAAGCGGCAACUUGGGCAACUUCUGCUGCUCCUGAGGGUGCUCGACCCCCCGCUCUGUGACUUCCUGGACUCCCAGGACUCCGGCUCCCUCUGCUUCUGCUUCCGGUGGCUGCUCAUCUGGUUCAAGAGGGAAUUCCCCUUCCUGGAUGUCCUUCGCCUAUGGGAGGUGCUGUGGACAGGGCUCCCUGGCCCCAAUCUGCACCUGCUGGUGGCCUGUGCCAUCCUGGACAUGGAGCGGGAUGCCCUCAUGCUGUCCGGCUUCGGCUCCAACGAGAUCCUUAAGCACGAGGCAGAGCGGGCGCCCGGGCGGCGGUGGUUGAGUGUGCCGCCUGGCGCCUGACCCGCCCCUCCCGCAGCACAUCAAUGAGCUGACCAUGAAGCUGAGUGUGGAGGACGUGCUGACGCGGGCCGAGGCCCUGUACCGGCAGCUGACCGCCUGCCCCGAGCUGCCCCACAACGUGCAGGAGGUCCUGGGUCUGGCGCCGCCUGCGGAGCCCCACAGCCCUUCACCCCCUGCCUCCCCACUGCCACUGUCACCCACCCGGGCCCCGUUGGCCCCCCCGCUCCCCGCAGACACAGACACAGCCCCGCAGCCUGACAGCAGCCUGGAGAUCCUGCCUGAGGAGGAGGAGGACCGGGCGGACUCCUAACCCUGCUGGGCACGUGACCCGCACGGGCACUUUAUCCUGUCCCCUGGGGGGCCAGGAGGGCCCUGGGAGGGGCGGGUGUGCUCCUGAUAAACUGAUUUCAUUAAACACACUUCUCACGUCCAGUUAGCCCCGUGUCCUUGGGGGAAGAGGCUGCCACUUUGGCUCCGACCUGGAUGGGGAAGGGGUAGUGGCUCAGGUCCCCUCUGACGGCUCCCCAGAGCUGAAGCCUGACCAGGUGGCCCCGAGCCAGCCAGUGAGACGCAGAAGGAGGCCCCUGGGGUGGGUGACGGGGCUCGGUUGAGGCGAGGCUCCCUCACCUGCCUGAAUUGUUGUUUUGGAGGAGUGACGAUGAGGCACUCAGAGCUGGGGCUGUCACUUAAGUGGCUGUGCCAGGACACAUCCCGGACAUAACUGAAAUGCAGGGGCCUGUGGAGCUGCACACUCUGGGGACCUUGCCUACCAGCUGCUGCUUAGUGAGAAAAAUAAACUCGUUUAACCAAU